GACCCCAGGUCAGGCGGGAUUACCCGCUGAAUUUAAGCAUAUCAAUAAG
rnacentral:rRNA from 1 species